rnacentral:rRNA from 1 species
AGUGAACGCUGGCGGUAGGCCUAACACAUGCAAGUCGAACGGCAGCACAGUAAGAGCUUGCUCUUACGGGUGGCGAGUGGCGGACGGGUGAGGAAUACAUCGGAAUCUACUUUUUCGUGGGGGAUAACGUAGGGAAACUUACGCUAAUACCGCAUACGACCUACGGGUGAAAGCAGGGGAUCUUCGGACCUUGCGCGAUUGAAUGAGCCGAUGUCGGAUUAGCUAGUUGGCGGGGUAAAGGCCCACCAAGGCGACGAUCCGUAGCUGGUCUGAGAGGAUGUUCAGCCACACUGGAACUGAGACACGGUCCAGACUCCUACGGGAGGCAGCAGUGGGGAAUAUUGGACAAUGGGAGCAAGCCUGAUCCAGCCAUACCGCGUGGGUGAAGAAGGCCUUCGGGUUGUAAAGCCCUUUUGUUGGGAAAGAAAAGCAGCAGGUUAAUACCCCGCUGUUCUGACGGUACCCAAAGAAUAAGCACCGGCUAACUUCGUG